rnacentral:rRNA from 1 species
CGAGCGGCGGACGGGUGAGUAAUGCCUGGGAAUUUGCCCAUUCGAGGGGGAUAACAGUUGGAAACGACUGCUAAUACCGCAUACGCCCUACGGGGGAAAGGAGGGGACCUUCGGGCCUUCCGCGAAUGGAUAAGCCCAGGUGGGAUUAGCUAGUAGGUGAGGUAAUGGCUCACCUAGGCGACGAUCCCUAGCUGUUCUGAGAGGAUGAUCAGCCACACUGGGACUGAGACACGGCCCAGACUCCUACGGGAGGCAGCAGUGGGGAAUAUUGCACAAUGGGCGAAAGCCUGAUGCAGCCAUGCCGCGUGUGUGAAGAAGGCCUUCGGGUUGUAAAGCACUUUCAGCGAGGAGGAAAGGUUACUGGCUAAUAUCCAGUAGCUGUGACGUUACUCGCAGAAGAAGCACCGGCUAACUCCGUGCCAGCAGCCGCGGUAAUACGGAGGGUGCGAGCGUUAAUCGGAAUUACUGGGCGUAAAGCGUGCGCAGGCGGUUUGUUAAGCGAGAUGUGAAAGCCCCGGGCUCAACCUGGGAACUGCAUUUUGAACUGGCAAACUAGAGUCUUGUAGAGGGGGGUAGAAUUCCAGGUGUAGCGGUGAAAUGCGUAGAGAUCUGGAGGAAUACCGGGUGGCGAAAGGCGGCCCCCUGGACAAAGACUGACGCUCAUGCACGAAAGCGUGGGGAGCAAACAGGAUUAGAUACC